rnacentral:rRNA from 1 species
GAUGAACGCUGGCGGCGUGCCUAACACAUGCAAGUCGAGCGAAGCACUUUGCUUAGAUUCUUCGGAUGAAGAGGAUUGUGACUGAGCGGCGGACGGGUGAGUAACGCGUGGGUAACCUGCCUCAUACAGGGGGAUAACAGUUAGAAAUGACUGCUAAUACCGCAUAAGACCACAGCACCGCAUGGUGCGGGGGUAAAAACUCCGGUGGUAUGAGAUGGACCCGCGUCUGAUUAGCUAGUUGGUAAGGUAACGGCUUACCAAGGCGACGAUCAGUAGCCGACCUGAGAGGGUGACCGGCCACAUUGGGACUGAGACACGGCCCAAACUCCUACGGGAGGCAGCAGUGGGGAAUAUUGCACAAUGGGGGAAACCCUGAUGCAGCGACGCCGCGUGAGCGAAGAAGUAUUUCGGUAUGUAAAGCUCUAUCAGCAGGGAAGAGAAUGACGGUACCUGACUAAGAAGCACCGGCUAAAUACGUGCCAGCAGCCGCGGUAAUACGUAUGGUGCAAGCGUUAUCCGGAUUUACUGGGUGUAAAGGGAGCGUAGACGGAUGGGCAAGUCUGAUGUGAAAACCCGGGGCUCAACCCCGGGACUGCAUUGGAAACUGUUCAUCUAGAGUGCUGGAGAGGUAAGUGGAAUUCCUAGUGUAGCGGUGAAAUGCGUAGAUAUUAGGAGGAACACCAGUGGCGA